rfam:Oryza sativa (indica cultivar-group) chromosome 6, whole genome shotgun sequence.
AAAAAGACAAACCCUGAGUUUUCGUAUUCAACGUUUUACUGUCUGUCUUAUAUGAAAUUUUUUUUCAUAAACAGCAUUUUCAUUGUUGUUAGAUGAUAAAACAUGAUUAAUACUUUAUACGUGACUUGUCUUUUUAAUUUUUUUCAUAAUUUUUUUAAAUAAGACGGACGGUCAAACGUUGUAUACGGAAACCCAGGGUUUGUCUUUUU